AGUGAACGCUGGCGGUAGGCCUAACACAUGCAAGUCGAACGGCAGCACAGUAAGAGCUUGCUCUUACGGGUGGCGAGUGGCGGACGGGUGAGGAAUACAUCGGAAUCUACUUUUUCGUGGGGGAGAACGUAGGGAAACUUACGCUAAUACCGCAUACGACCUACGGGUGAAAGCAGGGGAUCUUCGGACCUUGCGCGGUUGAAUGAGCCGAUGUCGGAUUAGCUAGUUGGCGGGGUAAAGGCCCACCAAGGCGACGAUCCGUAGCUGGUCUGAGAGGAUGAUCAGCCACACUGGAACUGAGACACGGUCCAGACUCCUACGGGAGGCAGCAGUGGGGAAUAUUGGACAAUGGGCGCAAGCCUGAUCCAGCCAUACCGCGUGGGUGAAGAAGGCCUUCGGGUUGUAAAGCCCUUUUGUUGGGAAAGAAAAGCAGCAGGUUAAUACCCCGCUGUUCUGACGGUACCCAAAGAAUAAGCACCGGCUAACUUCGUG
rnacentral:rRNA from 1 species